rnacentral:rRNA from 1 species
UACAGAGGGUGCGAGCGUUGUCCGGAAUCACUGGGCGUAAAGGGCGCGUAGGUGGCGACCCAAGUCGAUGGUGAAAGCUCGCCGCUCAACGGCGAGUCGGCCACUGAUACUGGGUUGUUGGAGCACUGUAGAGGCAGAUGGAAUUCCGGGUGUAGCGGUGGAAUGCGUAGAGAUCCGGAAGAACACCGGUGGCGAAGGCGGUCUGCUGGGCAGUUGCUGACACUGAGGCGCGACAGCGUGGGGAGCAAACAGG